UGCCCAAUGCGGGAAUCGAACCCGGGUCCUAGCGGUCGAAAACCAAUGGUUUAGACCAGGGGUCAGCAAACUGUGGC